GUGUUGUUGGGUAGGGGAGCGUUCUGUAAGCCUGCGAAGGUGUACUGUGAGGUAUGCUGGAGGUAUCAGAAGUGCGAAUGCUGACAUAAGUAACGAUAAUGCGGGUGAAAAACCCGCACGCCGGAAGACCAAGGGUUCCUGUCCAACGUUAAUCGGGGCAGGGUGAGUCGACCCCUAAGGCGAGGCUGAAAAGCGUAGUCGAUGGGAAACGGGUUAAUAUUCCCGUACUGGUGGUAACUGCGAUGGGGGAACGGAGAAGGCUAGGUUGUCCGGGCGACGGUCGUCCCGGUUCAAGCAGGUAGGCAGAGUGAUUAGGCAAAUCCGGUCACUUAAUGCUGAGAUGUGAUGACGAACCACUAAGGUGGUGAAGCAAUUGAUGCCCCGCUUCCAGGAAAAGCCUCUAAGCUUCAGGUUACCAACAAUCGUACCCCAAACCGACACAGGUGGUCAGGUAGAGAAUACUCAGGCGCUUGAGAGAACUCGGGUGAAGGAACUAGGCAAAAUGGUGCCGUAACUUCGGGAGAAGGCACGCUGGCGGUAGGUAAAGUCCCUCGCGGACGGCGCUGAAGCCAGUCGAAGAUACCAGCUGGCUGCAACUGUUUAUUAAAAACACAGCACUGUGCAAACACGAAAGUGGACGUAUACGGUGUGACGCCUGCCCGGUGCUGGAAGGUUAAUUGAUGGGGU
rnacentral:rRNA from 1 species